GACGAACGCUGGCGGCGUGCUUAACACAUGCAAGUCGAACGGAAAGGCCCUGCUUUUGUGGGGUGCUCGAGUGGCGAACGGGUGAGUAACACGUGAGUAACCUGCCCUUGACUUUGGGAUAACUUCAGGAAACUGGGGCUAAUACCGGAUAGGAGCUCCUGCUGCAUGGUGGGGGUUGGAAAGUUUCGGCGGUUGGGGAUGGACUCGCGGCUUAUCAGCUUGUUGGUGGGGUAGUGGCUUACCAAGGCUUUGACGGGUAGCCGGCCUGAGAGGGUGACCGGCAACAGUAGCAAGGACAUCACCUCGAGUGCCACCGGAGAGGGAGUAGUGACCACCAUCGAACAAUGGACGCAAGGCGCCAGCAGCAACGGCGGGUGCAAGACGGCGACCUACGGGAUGUAACCCGCAUCAGCUCGCGUCAAUGGCUGAAGACAGAUAAUGGCUAAAGUAGCACGGGUCAACUAAGU
rnacentral:rRNA from 1 species